rnacentral:rRNA from 1 species
GAGUAACGCGUGGAUAACCUGCCUUGCACUGGGGGAUAACACUUAGAAAUAGGUGCUAAUACCGCAUAAGCGCACGGAGCCGCAUGGCUCAGUGUGAAAAACUCCGGUGGUGUAAGAUGGAUCCGCGUCUGAUUAGCUGGUUGGCGGGGUAGAAGCCCACCAAGGCGACGAUCAGUAGCCGGCCUGAGAGGGUGAACGGCCACAUUGGGACUGAGACACGGCCCAAACUCCUACGGGAGGCAGCAGUGGGGAAUAUUGCACAAUGGGGGAAACCCUGAUGCAGCAACGCCGCGUGAGUGAAGAAGUCAUUCGUGAUGUAAAGCUCUAUCAGCAGGGAAGAAAAUGACGGUACCUGAGUAAGAAGCCCCGGCUAACUACGUGCCAGCAGCCGCGGUAAUACGUAGGGGGCAAGCGUUAUCCGGAUUUACUGGGUGUAAAGGGAGCGUAGACGGCCAGACAAGUCUGAAGUGAAAAUCCAGCGCUUAACGUUGGAAGUGCUUUGGAAACUGCCGGGCUAGAGUGCAGGAGGGGCAGGCGGAAUUCCUAGUGUAGCGGUGAAAUGCGUAGAUAUUAGGAGGAACACCAGUGGCGAAGGCGGCCUGCUGGACUGCAACUGACGUUGAGGCUCGAAGGCGUGGGGAGCAAACAGGAUUAGAUACCCUGGUAGUCCACGCGGUAAACGAUGAUUACUAGGUGUCGGGGGGCUAGAGCCCUUCGGUGCCGUCGCAAACGCAAUAAGUAAUCCACCU